rnacentral:rRNA from 1 species
UACGUAGGGGCCUAGCGUUGUCCGGAUUUAUUGGGCGUAAAGAGCUCGUAGGCGGUUUGUCGCGUCUGCUGUGAAAACCCGAGGCUCAACCUCGGGCCUGCAGUGGGUACGGGCAGACUAGAGUGCGGUAGGGGAGAUUGGAAUUCCUGGUGUAGCGGUGGAAUGCGCAGAUAUCAGGAGGAACACCAAUGGCGAAGGCAGAUCUCUGGGCCGUAACUGACGCUGAGGAGCGAAAGCAUGGGGAGCGAACAGG